rnacentral:rRNA from 1 species
AAGUCGUAACAAGGUUUCCGUAGGUGAACCUGCGGAAGGAUCAUUACCGAGUGCGGGCCCUGUGGGCCCAACCUCCCACCCGUGUUUCGUUAUUACCUUGUUGCUUUGGCGGGCCCGCCGUUCCGGCCGCCGGGGGGCUUUCACGUCCCCGGGCCCGCGCCCGCCGAAGACACCCCCGAACGCUGCCUGAAGGUUGCAGUCUGAGUGAAUCAUGAUAAAUCAGUUAAAACUUUCAACAACGGAUCUCUUGGUUCCGGCAUCGAUGAAGAACGCAGCGAAAUGCGAUACGUAAUGUGAAUUGCAGAAUUCAGUGAAUCAUCGAGUCUUUGAACGCACAUUGCGCCCCCUGGUAUUCCGGGGGGCAUGCCUGUCCGAGCGUCAUUGCUGCCCUCAAGCCCGGCUUGUGUGUUGGGCCGUCGUCCCCCGACUCCCGGGGGACGGGCCCGAAAGGCAGCGGCGGCACCGCGUCCGGUCCUCGAGCGUAUGGGGCUUUGUCACCCGCUCCGUAGGCCCGGCCGGCGCCUCAGCCGACCCUCCAACCUUUAUUUCUCCAGGUUGACCUCGGAUCAGGUAGGGAUACCCGCUGAACUUA